rfam:Schistosoma mattheei strain Denwood, Zambia genome assembly, scaffold: SMTD_scaffold0028811
AGUCUUCUGUAUCCGUGCUGAGAUUUCGUCACACAUUAGAAAACAAGGGCUGACCAGACUCACAAGAUAAAUGAAGCG